UAUCGAGCGACAUCCCGUGCACGCUGACACGCGAACUUCCGACGCGCGCAUUACCAAACAUGACUGCGGUUGGCUUCGUAUGAAUUUUGCAUCUUGCCACCAAGCCCGGGUAGCCCCAAGCCCAACUCCUCGAAGCUAGGGAGAAGCAUGGUCUCGCAGCCGUCGCCUGGUCCAGCAAGGGGUCCUUAUUUUCGGGUUCCUCGCGACUCGAUACAAAGACUGCUCCAGCGCAGCGAAAAUUGAUAGUGCUGACCUCGAGUAAACCAACGAACCAAACGAGAACCAAAUCUCGUUGCUGACCUCGAGGCCAUCAAUGUCCAAUACUACUCCUGCCCCGAUGCCUCCUGAAGUUUGGGCACGGACACCGAUCAUGAGAUUGCCACCCACUAUUUCCCAGACCUCGCACUGUAUCAACUGCGGUACCAUCGUUCCUAUGCCGCCUGCCCAUGUUGUUCUUCUCUCCUCGACAACCAGGGCCACAGCCAUCGUAGACGUCCAAGUGGGAAAUCGUGGGCUCUUCCCCGGUCUCCGACGGUCUCCUUACAGUUCCCGGAGGCGUCGGCGAUCUAGAUCAUCCAGGCGACGUUUCACAUCACGUUCAUCAAAGGGACGUCGCGGAAGGUCAUGGUCCUACAGUUCGAGCAGCCCUGAGUAUUCAUCUUCGGGUGAUAAUUCACACCGACGUAUACCCAGAAGCACUCUCAGACGCCCUCCCGAACCGUACUAUGCUGAUCCACCUCUACCGCCUCCAACCGACCCUCUAGAAAGAUACAGCACGGAUCCUGAGAUUACUGGAAGGCCAGACCAGAUGUACGACAGUCCAUUACUUGGAAACGCGCAGUAUCUUACCCAUUCCGGGAAGCACGUUCCUACGACAUAAGCCUGUGGUGGUCGGAUGAAGGUGGUCGGAGUAAGGGUGAUCGGAUGGAGGUUACUGUUCAACGACCUGAGCUUACGGGGUUCAACUUCAACUUGCACUGCUCUGGAAUCUAUCACUGGGAUGUUGCAAGACAAAAUUCAGGCGACCCGUCAGUUGUCCAUCGGAGAUACGUUGCGGCUGGUACCUGCUGGAAAUGAGGACGUCGUUACCGCGUGCCUGGUUGAUAUAAUACAACAAUUUAUAUAAUACAAUGUAAUACAAUAAUAUAAUAUAUAAUACAAUAUAAUACAACAAUGACUGAUACAGAAACUAACUUUCUAGUCAAAUUUUGAUGUUUGCGUGACUGCGAACUUAACCUCGGAGAUGGUGGGUGGCAAUCUGAUGAUCGAUUUCCGUGCCCAAACUGCUGGGGGCAUCGGGGCAGGAGCAAUAUUUGCUGGACAUUUGCUGGCUGGACAUUGAUGGCCUCGAGAUCAGCACUUUCACUUCUCGCUUUGCUGGAGCAGUCUUUGCAUCAGACUUCACGUCUCAAACUUCUUUCUUUCUUUCUUUUUUUUUCUGUUGGCUUUGUCACACUGGUUGUAGUAGUAGUGCUCGGCGCGCUCCUUGAAGGUGUGGCAAUUACGGGACUGCUACCUUUUCCUACAGUUGCUUCCCCUUUCUUCGGCUUCUUUGUCUUCUUGGAUUUCUUAGAUUUCGUUUUCGACAGAACCCUGGGACUGGAAACUUUGCUGUCAGUAGCUGCCGUGCUACUGGGCCAGCCAUGCGAGAUGGCGUACGUCUGACGGACAUUCCAGCAUUUGAGUUCGUACCGCCAUCGUCAGUGGAUGUGGAACGCACCUUUUCGGCGUAUCAGCUGGUACUGGGCGACAAGCGCCGGAUCUUUACGCCGACAAAUCUCGAAAUGGCGCUUGUGUCGUACUGCCUCUAUACAACUUUACCUGAUGAAUGCUUUUUAUCGUAAAACUGUGAACAUUCUGUGAACUGUCAACUUUUGUGAACUGUGAACUUCUGUGAACAUUCCUUGCUUGACCCAGUUAGUUCUUGCCUUUAGUUUAAUAGAAUUCUUACCCAGUUAAGUGGAAA